rnacentral:lncRNA from 1 species
UGGCCAAGAAAUAGCACUUUCGUCUGAGUACUCUUUCACGUACAGCCUCUUUUCCUGCUUCACCCGGAACACUGUACUCAGGGUUCCAAACCUCCAGUGAGUGACUAUAAACGAUUAUGUCAUUGAGGUUUUCCACUACAAACUGGUCAAGGUAAGGGUUUGAGUUAUCCAUUUAAACGAUUAUGUCAUUGAGGUUUUCCACUACAAACUGGUCAAGGUAAGGGUAUGAGUUAUCCAUUUAAGUGCGGAACAAGACCUGAAUUGGGAUGAUAUUCAUAGAUUGCUUACUCUUUGUGUACGUUAUGGAGUCUCCACUCCAUGUUGAAAGCUCUUUCAAAUAGGAUGAGC